rnacentral:lncRNA from 1 species
AGGGUUUGAGGCAGGCCCAGGAGCGAGUCCACGGUCUGCCGACUCGGGGCCAUGGUCGGGCCCCAGGAUCCGGAGCUUCGGGCGGGGCCGAGUCCGGGUUUGGGGCCCAGGAGGCGGGGCCGUUAGGGCUAGGGUCCCCGGGAUCGUCGGGUCAGGCCUUGGGCCAACGUAGGCACUCUCACAGUUCCUCCGCCUUCAGGAAGGUCUUUUUGGCAGGGGCCUUAUGGGUGCGCGCUUCGGUCCUGGAGGCCUUAUCCUAGCCUCCUCUCCAUCAGCGCCACCCGUCUGGGGCCCGAUAGGAGGGAGCUUUCCCUCUGUCCCCUAGCCUUUGGACUGUCACCAAACAAGCCAUUCGUUCACCAAAUACUUAUUAAGCGUCUACCAUGUGUCUGGCAAGGGAUAUGUAACAGUGAGAAAAACUAGGUGUGGUCCAGGCCCUCCAGGGGCUCAGGGGCUCGUGGAAGAAGUGGACAUUGAAGUACUUAUCACACAAAUGAGUAUAAAAGUACAAUAGUGAUAUCUGCCACGAAGGCGAGCAGACAGAGCUAGCGGGGCUUCCAGGAGGAGUUUUGAUCUUGCAGGGACAGGAAGGAGGAGUUAGCUCCUGGGGGGCGGGAUUGGGGGUGGUGGUGAUAUAGACGUGGGGUCAGAGUGGAAAACAACAAAAAUAUAAUUAUUUUAGUUCAAAGUUAUUGUGUCUUGAGUUGAAAGGCAGGGCAGUUAGCAACACAGUUCAGAUUUCAGUACUGCCCCUGAAAUCUGAACUGUGUUCAAAGUCUAAAACGUUUACCUUAGCAAAUCCCUCAUAAAACUCCAUUUGGAAGAGUCCCGAGAGCUAAUUUUUUAAGUAUACUUGCAGAAGGUAGAUGAGGAGACAGAUUAAAUCUUAUUACCUCUUUCAGAUGAGAGGCACUUGAGCCCUGCUCAGCUGUGAGAAUAAGAGAGGGGAAUUAAUUCUAAUUGAAUACACGUGUUCUCUCACAGCUGUUGUUCCCCACCAGAACCAAAUGAGCGCAAGAUCUGACAAAGAAAAAAAAAAGUCCCUGUAUCCUGAGAUGGAGUCACCUGAGAAUCCACAGCAAGUCCUAACCAGGGAUGGGUCUGGGUGGUUAAGGAAGGUUGGCUUCAGAACUGGGCCAGAGGCACUGCUUUGCUUUUGCUGUUUUGAUCAGCUCUCUGCCUGCAGGAGACAAGGAAAACCAACGGGAACAGGCCAGAGCGCAGUUGAUACAGGGCAGGGGAGCCCCCAAGCGGAGCAUAGUGUUUCUGGAACUGGUGGGUUCUUGGUCUCAC